rnacentral:rRNA from 1 species
UACGAAGGGGGCUAGCGUUGUUCGGAAUCACUCGGCGUAAAGCGCACGCAGGCGGAUCGAUAAGUCGGGGGUGAAAGCCCGGGGCUCAACCUCGGAAUUGCCUUCGAUACUGUCGGGCUCGAGUCCGGGAGAGGUGAGUGGAAUUCCUGGUGGAGAGGUGAAAUUCGUAGAUAUUAGGAAGAACACCAGUGGCGAAGGCGGCUCACUGGCCCGGUACUGACGCUCAGGUGCGAAAGCGUGGGGAGCAAACAGG